GAUGAACGCUGGCGGCGUGCCUAAUACAUGCAAGUCGAGCGAACGGACGAGAAGCUUGCUUCUCUGAUGUUAGCGGCGGACGGGUGAGUAACACGUGGAUAACCUACCUAUAAGACUGGGAUAACUUCGGGAAACCGUAGCUAAUACCGGAUAAUAUUUUGAACCGCAUGGUUCAAAAGUGAAAGACGGUCUUGCUGUCACUUAUAGAUGGAUCCGCGCUGCAUUAGCUAGUUGGUAAGGUAACGGCUUACCAAGGCAACGAUGCGUAGCCGACCUGAGAGGGUGAUCGGCCACACUGGAACUGAGACACGGCCCAGACUCCUACGGGAGGCAGCAGUAGGGAAUCUUCCGCAAUGGGCGAAAGCCUGACGGAGCAACGCCGCGUGAGUGAUGAAGGUCUUCGGAUCGUAAAACUCUGUUAUUAGGGAAGAACAUAUGUGUAAGUAACUGUGAACAUCUUGACGGUACCUAAUCAGAAAGCCACGGCUAACUACGUG
rnacentral:rRNA from 1 species